rnacentral:rRNA from 2 species
AAAUUGAAGAGUUUGAUCAUGGCUCAGAUUGAACGCUGGCGGCAGGCCUAACACAUGCAAGUCGAACGGUAACAGGAAGCAGCUUGCUGCUUCGCUGACGAGUGGCGGACGGGUGAGUAAUGUCUGGGAAACUGCCUGAUGGAGGGGGAUAACUACUGGAAACGGUGGCUAAUACCGCAUAACGUCGCAAGACCAAAGAGGGGGACCUUCGGGCCUCUUGCCAUCAGAUGUGCCCAGAUGGGAUUAGCUUGUUGGUGAGGUAACGGCUCACCAAGGCGACGAUCCCUAGCUGGUCUGAGAGGAUGACCAGCCACACUGGAACUGAGACACGGUCCAGACUCCUACGGGAGGCAGCAGUGGGGAAUAUUGCACAAUGGGCGCAAGCCUGAUGC